rnacentral:rRNA from 1 species
UACGGGGGGGGCAAGCGUUGUCCGGAGUUACUGGGCGUAAAGGGCGCGCAGGCGGUUGGUCACAUCGGCGGUGAAAGCCCCCCCGCUCAACGGGGGAGGGUCCGUCGAGAUGGGCCGACUGGAGGCAGGGAGAGGGCGGUGGAAUUCCGGGUGUAGUGGUGAAAUGCGUAGAUAUCCGGAGGAACACCAGUGGCGAAGGCGGCCGCCUGG